AGUGAACGCUGGCGGUAGGCCUAACACAUGCAAGUCGAACGGCAGCACAGUAAGAGCUUGCUCUUACGGGUGGCGAGUGGCGGACGGGUGAGGAAUACAUCGGAAUCUACUUUUUCGUGGGGGAUAACGUAGGGAAACUUACGCUAAUACCGCAUACGACCUACGGGUGAAAGCAGGGGAUCUUCGGACCUUGCGCGAUUGAAUGAGCCGAUGUCGGAUUAGCUAGUUGGCGGGGUAAAGGCCCACCAAGGCGACGAUCCGUAGCUGAUCUGAGAGGAUGAUCAGCCACACUGGAACUGAGACACGGUCCAGACUCCUGCGGGAGGCAGCAGUGGGGAAUAUUGGACAAUGGGCGCAAGCCUGAUCCAGCCAUACCGCGUGGGUGAAGAAGGCCUUCGGGUUGUAAAGCCCUUUUGUUGGGAAAGAAAAGCAGCAGGUUAAUACCCCGCUGUUCUGACGGUACCCAAAGAAUAAGCACCGGCUAACUUCGUG
rnacentral:rRNA from 1 species